UUGAUCAACAGUCAAAAUAAUAGUUUCAUUCUUUAUUCCCGUUAACUAUCAUCUAGUUCUUUUCAUGUAAUUCCGUAUCUUUUAAUAGUUUUUAUCAGUUUUAUUUCAUUUCAAAGUUCAUAAUUCGACAUGGAACCUGAUUCACCCGUGCUAGCUUCGGGGGAUAGACCUCCACUUAGUUCAAAACCUACAGGUACAAAUAAAAGACUAAGUGUUGAGCGGAUUUACCAGAAAAAAUCACAAUUAGAACAUAUCCUUCUCCGCCCCGAUACAUAUAUUGGCUCUGUAGAACCUGUUACUCAACAAAUGUGGGUUUAUGACGAGGAAAAAAGUGAAAUACUAUCUAAAGACAUAACUUAUGUCCCUGGGCUCUAUAAAAUUUUUGACGAAAUACUGGUCAAUGCGGCCGAUAAUAAACAGCGGGAUAAAUCAAUGAACUUAAUCAAAAUUGAUAUUGUUCCUGAAGACAAUAUGAUAAGAAUUUGGAACAAUGGAGCAGGUAUACCGGUUGUGUAUCACAAGGCGGAAAAUAUGUACGUUCCGUCCCUGAUUUUCGGUCACCUUUUAACUUCAUCAAAUUUCAAUGAUGAUGAAAAAAAAGUUACAGGAGGUCGUAAUGGUUAUGGAGCAAAGUUAUGUAAUGUAUUUUCCAAAAAGUUCAUCGUAAAAACAUCCUCUAAAGCCUAUGACAGCUCUUUUGAACAAACAUGGACUGAUAACAUGUCCAAAGCACAAGAAGCUAAAAUUGGAAAAGCGGCUAAGUCUGACUUUACAUCUGUAACUUUCUACCCUGAUCUAUCAAAAUUUAAAAUGCAGUCGUUGGAUCCGGAUAUUGUGGCACUUUUCAAACGUCGUGCAUUUGAUAUUGCUGGCUCUACCAAAGGGGUAAAAGUAGUUCUUAAUGGCGAAGAACUACCAAUCAAGAACUUCAAAGAUUAUGUUAAUCAAUAUCUUAAGGGUAAAGUUGAUGAUCAAGGUGGACCUCUUCAAUGUGCGUAUGAAGAUGUAAGCGAUAGAUGGCAAAUUGCUGUGGCAUCCAGUGAUAAAGGAUUCCAACAAGUUAGCUUUGUGAAUAGUAUUGCAACUACUAAAGGUGGUCGUCAUGUGGAACAUGUCAGCGAUCUGAUACUUACCAAAUUGACCGAGGUAAUCAAAAAGAAAAACAAAGGAGGCGUCCAGGUCAAGCCACAUCAGCUGAAACAUCAACUUUGGGUGUUCAUAAAUUGUUUAAUUGAAAAUCCGACUUUUGACUCCCAAACUAAAGAAAACAUGACAUUACAGGCUAAAAAUUUUGGAUCUAAGUGUAACCCAUCUGAUAAGUUUUUCACUACUGUUUUAAAAAUCGGUAUCGUUGAAAAUAUUUUGCAAUGGGUCAAGUUUAAAGCUCAAGAACAGCUCAACAAGCAAGGAGUCAAAUCGAAGCAUAGUAGAGUUCACGUUCCUAAAUUGGAAGAUGCUAAUCUUGCUGGAGGAGCUCGAUCAAUUGAUUGCACACUGAUUUUGACAGAAGGAGACUCUGCCAAAUCAUUAGUUGUAGCCGGUCUUGGUGUCAUCGGAAGAGAUAAAUAUGGUGUAUUUCCGUUGCGGGGUAAACUGUUAAACGUGAGAGAAGCCGCUGUCCCACAAAUUAUGAAGAAUGAAGAAAUCCAGAAUUUAAUCAAAAUCGUUGGAUUAGAUUAUCGUAAGAAAUAUGAGCGAGAAGAAGAUCUGAAAUCUCUUCGAUAUGGAAAAAUUAUGAUUAUGACCGAUCAAGAUCAUGAUGGUUCCCACAUUAAAGGUCUUCUCAUCAAUUUCAUUCAUCAUAAUUGGCCGAAUCUUCUGAAGCUUCCUUUCUUAGAAGAAUUCAUUACUCCAAUCUGUAAAGCCACCAAAGGAAACAAAGUCAUCUCAUUUUAUUCUUUACCAGAAUUUGAAGAAUGGAAAGCUGAAACUCCUGAUCAUAAAAAUUGGAAGAUAAAAUACUACAAAGGUUUGGGUACAAGUACCUCUAACGAAGCAAAAGAGUACUUUACAGAUCUUGCACGUCACAGGAUUCGAUUCAAGUAUGGAGGUCCUGAAGAUGAUCAGUCUGUCAUUCUUGCGUUUAGUAAGAAAAUGGUCGAUCAAAGAAAAGAAUGGUUGACUAGAGCCAUGGAAGAAAGAAAACAAAGACGUGAAGAUGGAUUAGGAGAAAUUUAUUUAUACCAAAAAGACACAAAAGUCGUUUCAUACAAAGAUUUUGUCAACAAAGAAUUAGUUCUUUUCAGUAAUCUUGAUAACGAACGAUCGAUUCCAUCAGUAAUGGAUGGAUUCAAACCUGGCCAAAGAAAGGUUUUGUUUACAUGUUUCAAACGAAAUUUGAAGAAUGAAACUAAAGUAGCUCAGUUAGCUGGUACCGUUGGCUCCGAAUCAGCAUACCAUCACGGUGAAGUGUCUUUGAUGUCUACAAUUGUCAGUUUGGCUCAAGAUUUUGUUGGCAGCAACAACAUAAAUCUAUUGCUUCCACUUGGUCAAUUCGGGACUAGAUUGCAGGGUGGUAAAGAUGCCGCCAGUGCUCGUUAUAUUUUCACCAAAUUGAGUCCACUUGCUAGAAAAAUAUUUUCCAAGUUAGAUGAACCUUUACUCCAUUAUCUAUACGAUGAUAAUCAACGAGUUGAACCAGAAUAUUAUGUCCCUAUACUCCCAAUGGUGUUGGUAAAUGGAGCUGACGGAAUUGGAACCGGAUGGAGCACUAAGAUUCCCAAUUAUAAUCCAAGAGAUGUUGUUGCAAACUUGAAGAGAUUGAUUAAUGGAGAAGAAGUUGUUCCGAUGAAACCCUGGUUCAAAGGAUUCCGAGGUUUGAUUGAGAAAAUCGACGCUCAACGUUAUAUCAGUUUUGGUGAAGUCGCUAUUCUUGAUGAUGACAGGAUUGAAAUUACUGAGCUACCAAUUCGAGUCUGGGUUCAGGCUUAUAAAGAAAAUGUUCUCGACCCAUUCCUUCAUGGUAAUGACAAGCAGCCAGUUUUUAUUAGCGAUUACAAAGAAUAUCACACAGAUACUACUGUUCGCUUCGUUGUUUCCAUACCAACUGACAAUCUUCGAAAAGCAGAGCAACAAGGUAUUCACAAAUGUUUUAAACUCCAAACAACAUUUACCACUACUUCAAUGGUUUUGUUUGAUCAUAAUGGUUGUAUUAAAAGGUAUGAAACUCCUGAAGAAAUUCUGUUGGAGUUCUACGAUAUACGUCGUGCGUUUUACAAAAAGAGAAAAGAGUAUCUUGAAGGAAUGCUUGAUGCAGAAGCUUCGAAGUUGGAAAAUCAAGCUCGUUUCAUUGUAGAAAAGAAUUCAGGUCAGAUUAAAAUGGAAGGUGUUGGAGUUAAAGCCAUGAUCGAGACAUUGAUUAAAAAGGGUUAUGCUUCAGAUCCUGUGAAAGCCUGGCAAAAGAAGAACCAGUUCGAUUCUCCAGAACAGCCCGUAGAUGAAGAUAACGAAAAUCCAGCCGAAUCUAGUCAACAAGAGGACAAUCUUACCGGCCCAGAUUAUGAUUACUUGCUUGAUAUGGCUAUGCGAUCUAUGUUGAAAGAAAAAGCUGAUAACCUUCUGAAAACUCGUGAUGCGAAAAAAGCAGAACUUGCUGAACUGAAAAAAACUAGUGCCGAAGAAAUGUGGCUACGAGAUCUUGAUGACUUCAUAGAAGAACUGACUAAUGUUGAAAAAGAACAAGCUGAGGCAGCUGCUAAGGCUAUCAAACCAAAAGGUGGAGAUGGAGGAAAGAUUCGAGGCAAAAGCACUAAAAAGUCCGAUGCUGAUACUAAACCCUCUGAACUCGCUAGACGGAUUAAACCUGAAAUUGAUGUUGCUUUAUAUGCUAAACAAGCAGCAAGCAAUGAAAACAAAAAACGAGGCAAAAAGUCUUCUAAAGAUAUUGAAAUUGAUCUUGAUGCAACUGAGAUUCUCGAAGAAAGUCCAGUGCUUAGUGACAUCGAUGAAAAUGAGGAUAGCCCUCCUGCCUCCAAACCAGAAAGUAAAAAAGUUCUUAAAUCCAAAUCUGUUACAACCAAAGUGAAAGAACUCGAAGAUGAUGAAGAUGAAGACGAAGAUGAUUUGCCAUUAGCUGCUAGGUUAGAAAGUAAAAAGAUGAAGAAAGCAAAAACCAGCGUCACCAAAGAAACCGUAAAUAUCGAGAAUGAUGAUGAUGAUGAUGUACAGCCACCGCAAAGACGGGAAAACACAAAGAUCGGUAAAGCAAAAGCUACAACAUCAAAAACAAAGGAAACUAAGACUACUAAGGUCCCAGCCGCUAAAAGUAAAGCAAAAACAACCGCAACAAAAGAAACAGCUCAAAAAUCUAAAGCAAAGAAAAGGAAAUCUUGGGAAUCUGAUGAAUCUAUUUCUGAAGAAGAAGAUAUAACGUUAAGUUCUGACUCGAGCUUCAAUGUCCAAACAAGUUCCAGUGCUCCAGUAGAAUCUAAAUCAAAAAGGCCUCGUGCAAGAGUCCAAUAUAGAAUUGAAAGUGAUGAAAGUAAUGAUUCAUUAUUAGACAAUCUAUAAAUUCCAUUAAGCGCUCGGAUAAAUCUUUGGAAGGGUCAAUUUUAUGGUUUUUCCAUUUUUAUGUCACUCUAUCUUUAUUCAUAAAAUUGAUCGAUAAAGAUUUUUUCGAGGGGAUCAUGCGUUCAUUCAUCUUCCCUUCAUCAUUUCACAUUAACCAUUAUUUUAUUGUAAUUUCAAAUCUUUUAAUUCUGCAAUUUAAUUGUUUUUAAUAAUGAAAAAACCACAAAAUCAAUAGAUCAUCAAUGAUUAAUCAUUUUGCCAUCUGUAAAUAAACAUAGUUAACCAUUCCCUAUUGUUCAUUUGAAAAAUAAAUCUGUGUUUUCAGUUA